AAACAGGACGCGGAGGCUGAACGUGUGGGCCGAGCGGGCAGCAGCGCCCUCUGCCGGCAGCCGGCUGGAAUCGCAGCAGCGCUGAAUGUAACCGACCCGUGCGGGCUGUCUGCCCAACUCCUCAUUUCUUCACUUACACGGUGGAGCCAAUCGUUCGGAUUUUUCUGAAGUGUGUUUGUAAGCCUGGCAUCUGUUUUUCGGCCAAAACCAUCGCUUAGUUCCCUAGCGGUUUCCUCCUCAGAGGUUUUGUGAAGUUGAACAGAAACUCGGAGAGACCAUGCACUACUGAGCGUGACUGCCGCAGGGAUGCUGACAACAGAAUCCAGUUCUUAGAACCAUCACAAGGUUGGAAAGGACCUACAGGAUCAUCUACUCCAACUGUCCUCCUUGCUACCACAAGCCACUAAACCAUAUCUGGUAGCUCCUCAUCCAGACACCUCUUGAGCACUGCCAGGGAUGGCGACUCCACCACCUCCCUGGGCAGGCCGUUCCAGUGCCUGACCACUCUCUGAGAGAAAAAAGCUUUUCCUUAUGUCUAACCUAAACCUCCUCUGGUACAACUUGUGGCCAUUUCCUCGGGUCCUGUUUGUUGCCUGGGAGCUUGUUUGGUGUGGGAUUUGGAUAGCGCACACGCAGAGUAAGGCUGCAGGCCUGAGGUGGGAGAAGCUAAUAAAACUAAGAGAUAUCCAAAAUCUGCGGGAUUUGGGUCAUCUGCUUUGUCCGUGACCAUCCUCAGCUAUCAAAUCUCUGGUUUUAGUGAAUAGAAACUGCAGACGAGACGCUCCUUCUCCUCCUUCCUGCCCCCAGACUUCUGCAUCUGCCUCCUCUAGUAAGUCCUCCCCUUGUCCAUGUGGGCAGCUGCCCUCCCGGUGCUUGUUGCUGCCUUGCCUGCCUCUCUGUGGCAAGCAAACGUUACUUCUACAUGUCAUAAAAUUUGCUCUCUCAGACUGAAAAUCGGUCUGUUAGAAAGGAUUUGUAUCUGUCUCUUGACUUGGUAGCCUGUGCUAUUUACAGGCAUCCAUUAAAUCUCAUUUAGAUACGCAGUAUGAUCAAUACAAGGGAUUUAAAAAACACAAGUCAGGACUCACGCUGAGCUUUAAGACUUUUUUUUCCCCCUUAAUAGCAAGCCAUACCUGUCAUCUGUCUGUUAUCUGAUCUUAUAAAAAAGAACUAGAUUUGUGCUUUGCAGUUUUCUGGGGAAGAAAUGCAUUUAAAAAGAAAAAAAAAAAUGCAGCUGAUGAUGCACUUCUAGAAUCUGGCACUACCCAUCCAGUCUUUUUUUUUUUUUUAUUUGCUUUGAGUUAGCAAGUUAGAAAAGCUUUAUCUGCUUGAGUUCAGCUCAGGAGCCCCAUGGAAGGAAGCCUUUUCUGACCCAGCUCCUCAGGAGUUUUCAUGUUCCCUCAGCCCACCGAUGCAUCUCAGGGCUCCUGCUUUGUGCUUUGGUAGUAACACAGAAUUCACGCUCCACAGUAAUGUUGAAAUACAGAAUUUAUAGUAUAGAUUAGAAGACAGAUUUGGGGCAGUUGUGAACUUUUAACCGUAAGUCCUGCUGUGCUUAUCAGAGUUAUCUUUAUUCCUCAGUGAACCUCAGGGGAAACAGUGUAUUUUUGUUUGGAUGUACCAUGUAUGUACUUGCACGAAGUAAGGGCACAUUCAGCACAUUCAUUGCUUUGACUGGCAAUGUUCUUGAGGGCUAGCCCACAUGACGUGGGGGAUGAAUGUCUUUUGUUCCCUUCCAUAUUUUCUGUUAGGAGAAGUAGUAAUGUUAGUAUCUUGAAUAAAAAUAGUGAGAGAAGAGUAUCUUCUAGAACUGGCUCUAGGACAAACGUAAGGUCAAGGCCUUAGAACGUUUAAUUUCACAUUUUGUCAGCAUAUACCUGCUGUACGUAAAUCAGAUUGUCUCCUACCACAGCUGUAUACAGCGGGAUUAAUCUCUCUUCACUUUAGGCAUUUAAGUUUAGUGUCUGUGUUAGUCUUCCUUGCCACCUCUGAUGGUCAAGGCAGAGAAAUUAGGGCAGAGACGGGUCAUUACCUCUCCACGAUGCCUGCCUGAGAAUGAGAUGUGUCAUCCUGCAGAGCUGCUUCUUUCCCUUGAUCAAUUAUUGGGAACCACACAGUAACUGAAAUUUUGCUCUUUAUCUCCUGGAUGCCCAAGUUCACUAAGUGAAUCCUACCUUAUAUUCUAUUACUAUCUUGAAAGUUAGUCUCAUUUAGAAACUGAUGAAAUAGCUCUAGAAAUAAAGAAAUCUUUGGCACCCUUUGGGCAGGCAGUGUCUACAGCUCUGGUGCAGAUACAGUGGUGAUCUUGAGUGGUAGAUCUCCUUGACUUUAUUUACACAUUCUUUGUCAGCUGUGAAGUUCCUUACUAAGGAUGGUUUUGUCUACCAGUCAGUACUGUAUUUACUUAAACUAUAAGUAUCUUAAGCUUUCAUCCCUGUUCCUUCAUAGAACCAUAGGGUCACCAAGGUGGCCAGAGACCUCUGAGGUCAUCCCAUCCAGCUGUCCACAUACCACCAAUAUUUCCCCCACUAAGCCAUGUACCUUAGUACAGCAUCUAAACAACUCUUGAACACUUCCAGGGACGGUGACUCAACCAUCUCCCUGGGCAGCCCAUUCCAGUGCCUGUCUGCUCUUCUGGAGAAUAAAUUAUUCUUUACAUCCAACCUGAACCUCUCCUGGCACAACUUGAGGCUAUUCCCUCUAAUCCUAUUGCUAGUUAUGUAGGAGAAGACAUUGACUCUCACUUCACCACGAUCUGUACAUUGUAAAUUGUACAUCUGAUAUGCAAUGGAAAAAAUAUAUCUAUUUGGGUAUAAAAUGACACGUUCCAUUGUUCGCUGACUGAUGAUGCUGCUUCCUGAUCUCUGAAGAGUUUUCUCAGUCAUGUUAAAUGAGGGUAUAAGGCAGAAGACAAGAAAAGAAAGAUAUUGCAAAGGAAAUGGAACUGCUCGUUAUCUCUGACAAAAAUGAAUAGAACUACGUGCAGGCAGUAUAUGACUUCAAGUGUAAAAGUGUAUCAGCAAUUUUAACAUAACAUUUAUCUAAGGCUGUGGAAACAGUUGUCACGCAUGUCUACUAUACUGAAGCACUCUAUGAUUUUAGGAUCUUUUUAAACAAACUGUAUAUAUACACGUGCUUCAGCUAUCAUAUGCACUUGGAGAGAUGAGAAGCAAAGUGUAAUCAAACUUGGAACUUGCAAAGUGGAUGUCUUUAAGUAGUGAUUUCCCAUUGCAGUCUUCUCCUGACUUGUGGGAGUGAAGUUUAGCUGGACUGCAAGGCCCUGUGAGGGAUGAGUGGGAAACCAGGUGGGACUCCUCUGUCUAAACACAGAUCUUUAAUGUAUAUUGAAUACCACUGAACCCUAGACUCCCCUAACAAUAAAUAAAUGAAGAAGG
ensembl:lncRNA